AAUGCGAUAAGUAAUGUGAAUUGCAGAAUUCAGUGAAUCAUCGAAUCUUUGAACGCACCUUGCGCUCCUUGGUAUUCCGAGGAGCAUGCCUGUUUGAGUGU
rnacentral:rRNA from 2 species